UAAACUUUUAGUAUAACUAGUACGUUCAGUUUCCACCUGAAAAGAUUUAUUUUUAAAAAAGUUUAA
rnacentral:tRNA from 1 species